rnacentral:tRNA from 1 species
CGCAUCCUUAGCUCAGUAGGUAGAGCAAGGGACUCUUAAUCCCUGGGUCGUGGGUUCGAGCCCCACAGGGUGUACCA